UACGUAGGGUGCGAGCGUUAAUCGGAAUUACUGGGCGUAAAGCGUGCGCAGGCGGUUUUGCAAGCCGGAUGUGAAAUCCCCGGGCUUAACCUGGGAAUGGCAUUUGGGACUGCAAGGCUGGAGUGCGGCAGAGGAGACUGGAAUUCCUGGUGUAGCAGUGAAAUGCGUAGAUAUCUGGAGGAACACCGGUGCGAAGGCGGCAUCCUGGACCAAACU
rnacentral:rRNA from 1 species